AUGACUCACUAGAAAAGUCAAUAAUGCCUGAUAAGAUCAAAGAGCUAUUCAAGAUGCAACCAGUGGACAGUGGAUCAACCAACUACCAGUGGCUGAUACUCUAACCAAGAAAUGAGGAACAGUUGUUCAACCCUCCACACUGAAUAAUAUCCAGAGGAAAGAAAGUGGGAAAGCUUACAUCUAAAACAUCAAGAUAGUCAAAGAUUCUUUGCUCCUACUCUAAUGAUUAUCCAACAAUUAAUUUUGUGAGCAGAAAGGAAAGAUGAUGAUGAAUAAUAUCAGCCCAGACAUCUGGCUGCUGUGGCAUAAGAAUUUACAAGUAAGGUAUGACUCAUCCAUCGGCUGCAGAUUCCACAAAUCCUCUGCCUUUGAAGGCUUCCCUGACUUUGAUUGUGGAACCUGGUGCAAACUCUGAUACAGUGAGUACACAGACAGAGGGUCAGAAUGACAUGCCAGAUGGAGAGACUCCCCAGCAGCCACCGCAUUCUGUUGUGGACACAGACACAGAUGGAGACAUAGACCUGGCAAUACCUAUUCCAGCACAGCAUUGUCGAGAGAAGGAAAUGUGGAGACGUUCUGAGCAUUUAUGCCUAAAAUGCUCAGCAAUUUAACAGGACCUGCUGGAAGCUGCCAGAACAUAAAUAGCCCAGUAUGGAGAUGAUGCUGACAACUGACCUUCUUGGUAGAAGCAACAUCCAUGCCUCAUGUUCCUGUUCAUGCUGCCUGAUAGCCUUAGAUCUUGCUUUGUUUAUUGAAUAUGCUCUUGAUUCUCUCUUUGGAUAGUUGCAUGGAUUUAUUGCUGAACUAUGUAUGACUUGGACUGAAAUGACUUUGCUGCUUCAGCCUUCUUGCUGUUGAACCAAACUUCUCCCUGUGUUUCUCUCAGGCUCUGUAUCUCCCUGCAUACCCUUCUUGGGAGCCUGGUCUUGGGCUGAGACUAAAGCAGGACAGUAAGGCUUGCAAUGUUUCCCUUGUACAUGCAUACUCGUGUAUUUCAAUGUCUGUGUCUCUUUCUUCAAGUUGCAUGUCAGCUUAGGGCAACCUCAUGAAUUUCAUAGGGGUUUCUUAGGCAAGGAAUACUCAGAGGUGGUUUUGCCAGUUCCUUCUUUUGAAAUAUAGCCUAUGACACUUGGUACUUCUUGACAGUCUCCCAUCCAAGUACUAACCAGGGUUGACCCUGCUCAGUUUCCAAGAUCGAAUGGGAUCUAGUGCCUUUAGGGUACUAAAUCAUAUACACACACAAGCAUGCCUUCAACCAUACACACAUCCAGCACAAUCUCACGUGGAAAGAAGAAAUUUUAGGGUUACCCAGAUUGUUGUAGCACUGGCUAUCCUAUCUGAAGUACAACUUGAAUUUGCACACUUUGUCAGAAAUGAAUGCACAUACAUUUAAUUUGCAUAAUAGUGUGUGAAAUUUAUUGAAUGCUGUCUUCACUGUAUGUUUCAAGCUAUUUUCACAUAUAGCUGACACAAGAUGACACUCAUGUUAUUUGAAAUAAAUAGGUGUAGAAUUUAUGUAU